rnacentral:rRNA from 1 species
UACAGAGGUCCCAAGCGUUGUUCGGAUUCAUUGGGCGUAAAGGGUGCGUAGGCGGCGCGGUAAGUCGGGUGUGAAAUCUCGGAGCUUAACUCCGAAACUGCAUUCGAUACUGCCGUGCUUGAGGACUGGAGAGGAGACUGGAAUUUACGGUGUAGCGGUGAAAUGCGUAGAUAUCGUAAGGAAGACCAGUGGCGAAGGCGGGUCUCUGGACAGUACCUGACGCUGAGGCACGAAGGUCAGGGGAGCAAACGGG